UACGAAGGGGGCUAGCGUUGUUCGGAAUCACUGGGCGUAAAGCGCGUGUAGGCGGCUUUGCAAGUCGGGUGUGAAAGCCCUCAGCUCAACUGAGGAAGUGCGCCCGAAACUGCAGAGCUUGAGUGCCGGAGAGGGUGGCGGAAUUCCCCAAGUAGAGGUGAAAUUCGUAGAUAUGGGGAGGAACACCAGUGGCGAAGGCGGCUCACUGGACUGGUACUGACGCUGAGGCGCGAAAGCGUGGGGAGCAAACGGG
rnacentral:rRNA from 1 species